rnacentral:rRNA from 1 species
GAUGAACGCUGGCGGCGUGCCUAAUACAUGCAAGUCGAGCGAACAGACGAGGAGCUUGCUCCUCUGACGUUAGCGGCGGACGGGUGAGUAACACGUGGAUAACCUACCUAUAAGACUGGGAUAACUUCGGGAAACCGGAGCUAAUACCGGAUAAUAUAUUGAACCGCAUGGUUCAAUAGUGAAAGACGGUUUUGCUGUCACUUAUAGAUGGAUCCGCGCCGCAUUAGCUAGUUGGUAAGGUAACGGCUUACCAAGGCAACGGUGCGUAGCCGACCUGAGAGGGUGGUCGGCCACACUGGAACUGAGACACGGUCCAGACUCCUACGGGAGGCAGCAGUAGGGAAUCUGCCGCAAUGGGCGAAAGCUUGACGGAGCAACGCCGCGUGAGUGAUGAAGGUCUUCGGAUCGUAAAACUCUGUUAUUAGGGAAGAACAAAUGUGUAAGUAACUAUGCACGUCUUGACGGUACCUAAUCAGAAAGCCACGGCUAACUACGUG